UCUCUCUCCUCUCUUCCUUCUCUAUAGAGCUCCUCUUUCCUUGAUAUCUCCGCCUCUCCGGGGAUCUGUUUUUGCCAGAGAAGGCUCCCUCUUUUUCUUGUUUUUUUUUUCUGGCUUGCUCUUCAUAUACGGUUUUGUGUUCUCCUCUUCCAAGUUGGUGGCGGAUUUGUGCUUCUCGGCGAGGUUGCCGUAGCUCUCCUGUAGAUCGGUGGCGGUGGUGCUUUUGCAGAUCCUAGAUCUGAUGAGGACAAGAACGGGUGAUGCUUCCUCAGGCUCCGUUCCGUUUUUUCUCGGCUUUGCUCUCCUUCUUUGGUCUUUUCAGGUAUUCCCGGUGGUUUUUGGUGGUUGCUGUAGCGAGAGUAGUGUUUGAUGCGGCGGAUAGGGUUUCAUAGCUUGAACUUUUGAGAUCUCACGAGUAAGACUAUUUGUUUGGAGGACGCAGAUGGGUUCAUAAAAGGAGAUCUCCGGAGGUGGCUGAUUUACGGCGACGAAGCCUCCUCGAUGAUUGCUUUUGGCGGUUCUAGAGUUUGCUUCGGAUCGGUUAUUUUCCUUAUUCUAGGUGCCUUGCUCCUCUCUCGGGUUUUCAUCGCAAGAUGUAGCUGCACCUGAAGGAGUUGCUGUACCAGUGGAGCUGGAGCAUGGAGUAACUCAAGCAUGGAGUGCAGAACAAGUUAUCGAGAGGAGCGGAGCUGGACCAAUAAGGAUUCAAUAAGGAUUCAAGCCUUGGAAAGGAGCGGAGCUGGACGAGCGUAGCACGAAGGAUCAAGAAGAAUGGAAGAUUUUCUUAAACACGAUAAGGUUUAAAGAAAUAGGAAAAAUAUACACAAAGAUCGAGAAAAGCCAUCUAGGGUGUAGGGUUUUGGCGUGUAUAGUCGCAUAGUCUACUAGGUACAAGUAGACUGUGUUGAAGCAUUGUAUGUGCUUAACACAACAACUAUAGAACACUUAGCAUAAGGGUGAGAGAUUCUUGUAUUGGGUCUACAUCAAGGGUUAAGGAGUUAUCUAGGGAGAGCUCGGAGAUCAAGUACAGAUCAAAGAACGAAAAGGCUAGGUCGACAGAUCAAGGUGUAUCUUGAGUCUGUCUUAAAUCGUGUUAGGAAAACUUGUAUGGUUUGAUAACAGAUUUACUAGCAAUAAAGUUUCGAUUAAAGAAAA